rnacentral:lncRNA from 1 species
AAAUCAUGUAGCAACCUUGACUCUAAAGUUAAACAGAACACCAAGCAUUAAAUAAUACUUAAAAGUGCGUACUUCAUUUCCUUAAUGAAACAGUAGUUAAAUAGGGAGUUUAAUUUAUUAUACAAUUAAAUAACUCUGCCCCUACUUAUUAAUUAAUUCCUCCUUCCCUGUUUCAAGCGUAAGAGUGUUCAAUGCACUUGAGAAUUCUCUAGAACAUAUCCAAAAUCCUUAAUAAUCGCCAUGAAAUUGUGAAAACACAAGAGGAUACAACAGUAACAGAGGAAGAGAUUAUAUUUGAUAACAAAAAGAAAGAAAAAAAAGAAGAAAAUCAAACAAAAGAAAGAUGAAGCAAAAAUACACCAUUGAAGAUGCCAUUUAAUUUGAAUAUAUGUACGGAAUUACAUUUAUAUAUAAAAAAAAUAAAGGAGUAAGCGUGGAAAAGAAGUUGGAAUUCAAUAUUAAAAGAUGAUUUGAAAAUAGAAAGGCAAUGAAACAGGGGAAAAAACCGCGUACCUUUGUUUGGGUUCAGAGACAAAUGCAGAGAGAAACUAGAGAGACAACAAAAUUAUAAGGAUGUAAUAUAUCGUAAUGUAAUUGUGUUGUGUAUAUAAAUCUACUGGUUGAUGAUGGUAGGGUUAAUGAAAGCUUGUGAAGAAGAAUUGAAUUUGAGAAACUUAUAUAAACUUGAAAUGGGAGUUAAAAUAAUUAGGAAGGAAGAAAAAUGUGAAAUGAAAAUGGAAAAAAAAAUGGAGAGGAAAAAGAGUGGGGUUGGAAGAGAGGUUGGAAUGUUGAAGAAUGAAGAUGACUUAUCAUCUGCCAACCCUUUUUGCC